GCAACAGAGUUACAUCGCAAGUCCUUGGCGAUAAAACCUAGGAUCAUUUGAUUAGAAUAAUAUUAUUAGAGCUAAGUAAUCUAAGGAUCAAUCCUUAAAUAAGGAUUUAACGGACUCAAUCCUUAGCGACGUGGCAGAGUGUGAUUCGUUUUGCGUUUGGUAUAGGAAAAAAAAAAAUUCGACCGAAGAUGACUAAGAAGCAUCGCCGCGUCGGAUUCUCUCCCGCCGGUGAGCAAGUUUCUUCUCCUCUUCCUGUUCCUCUUUGUUUUAUUUCACUCGCGAUUCCCUCUCUUCUGAUUUUGGAUUGCAGCGAAAAUUAAGGUUACGAUUCCCCUCUUUGUGAAAUUAGUUCGUCUGUGUAAUUUUUAUUUGGCUUUUGGUGUAAUUCAUUUGUAGAAGAACGCCAUGAGAUGAUUUGUUUGGAGUAUGUUUGAUUGCAUGUCAUUACUCUGUGUCAGUGAUAAUUUAUUAGUUCCACUCAGAUCGAAGUGAAGCCGGAAAAAAAACAUGCCACUCUCUCUACAAUCUCCGCCUUCUGCAGCAACUCUCUCUGCUUUGAUCCAAAAGGGACGAUGGAAGAUUGUUAUGUGUGAAAGUGGGAGAGCAAUGAGCUAGAUGUUGUAUCAGUUUUUAGCGAGAUUGUUCCUGAUACAGUCGUUUUCGAUGACUUUGAGAGGUUCCCGCCAACUACAGCUACUGUUAGCUCUGCUCUCCUCCUUGGCAUUCGCGGUCUCCCUGACACUAUCUUCCGGAACAUAUUUGUUGAGACAAUUGUUGAUAGCAAUGAUGAGUUUCUGCAAACCUUUUCCACAUAAAGAGAUUUUAUCAGGUGCACUACUACUGGAUUCUCUCAUACUUCCUAAGAACUCUAUAUUAAUAACACCAUUGAACAUAAAUUUUAUACUAGAGUCCUUAACUAUUCUGAAAAAAUAGAAAAAGUAAUAUUCUAUGGAUAAGGACUCCAAUGGUGGGUAACACCAUUGGAGUUGCUCCUAUAAGUUUAACUGAUAUAAAUUAACAAAUAACCACCACCAUUAUCUUAAGCUUUUAGAGUGGACUAUGGGACAUCACGUAACAGUCCUGUCACGUAACGUGCCAACUCCAAUCUGGUUCCAGCAUGUGGUUUCCUUAAAAACAAUUUUAUUAAAAGAAAUGAUAUCAUGAAAUCGAAGUUUAGGCUCUUUUAGGUAGAAUCUCACCUAAAAGGUGGUUCCAGAACAGUAAUACCGAAUUAUCAUGUGCAUUUAGAGACAAAAUCUUAUUUUUAUCCUUUUUAAUUCUAACAUGUAAAGCCUUUUCCUGCAUUGGUGGCCUCAAACUCUUUCAUACGUAGUUAUAGAAAAUAGAAAAAUAAAAGUAGCAUUCUGGUAAAGAAACAAAUGGAACAAUAUAUUGACAGUUUAUGAUAUAUGAUUUUAUCUAAAAAAGAAGUAAAAACCAAAACAAAAGUGGGUAAAUUCAAAACAUACAUUUAAAUACGGUUGAUCAGAUAUUACUGAAUUUUGUAUAAUUGUGUAUCCAUUCAUUUAAAUCUCUUUUUUCAUUUUUCUCUUUUAUAAAGAAAUAUUAUAUAUUUCUAGUAUUUUAACAAAUUCUACGUUGCCAAUACUUGGCACUUAGUUAUUUCGAUAUUUUUAAUUCAAUAUCGUUUUUAAAAACAUAGUUUCUGGAGUUACCUUUUUCCUUUUUAGAAGUGUUAUCUACAACAUUUUUUUAUAAAUUUUCUAAAAAUAUUAUAAACCAAAAAAUAUUUUGUAAAUAAAGUUUCUGCCUAACUCACUCAAAACCCACUCUCUUUAAAUGUAAACUAUAACGAUUUUAUUAAAUAGGAGUAUAUGUUGUAUAAUUCCAAAAAUUUUAACAUCUGUAUAAAUGUUAAAAUGAUACUAUCUGUAAAAAUAAAGCGAGCAACUUAUAUGUACAAAUUAUUUCAAUUCUUUUAGCUUUCUUUUGACAAAAGAUAUUAUUCCAAGAGAGGCCAAAUCUAGAAUAUAAGCAGGUGAGAUGGGGUAGAUGGUAGAAGACAGAUAAAAGCUACAUGUGAGAUGUUGGGUGGUAGCCUGGCAGGUAACCGAAUCUAUGAUCAAUGAAUAAUGGAUAAAAGGAAAAAUUAUAAUAAGGUUUUACUAUAUACUUUAUUAAAAAAAGGUUUUACUAUAUAACAAGAACAAUUAUAAAAUAUGGAAUAUUAAUGAUAGUACGAGUUAAGAGGAGAAAGGUAUAAUGUUGCACAUGCAGUUAGCUAGACUGAAUCGCGUCAUUUUUGGCCAGCCAUGCACUGGUCUAUCUCUCUUUAUUUUAAUGUAUUAUCAAUUCAUACGUUCCUACAUGUGUAAAAGUGUUAUCCUUGUUGAUUGAUUAUGUUAAAGGAUCCGGUUAAAAUUGCAGCAGUGGACCACCCUAUAUAAAAUAAUAAUAUUAUUUAGUUUAAAUUUUUAUUUGAGAACUUUUGCCAAUAAGAUUACUUCUAUAUUCUUGUGGUUAAACUGUGACUGUAAACCAACUUGAUUUGAUUUGAAUUUUAUAUCGAUAAUAAGUUUGCAUAACGUUGGGUCGCGAGACUACGCGGGAGUAAGGAAACCAGUCGCAAAGUGAAAAAUUGAAUAAGGCCGGGCCAUCACCUGCAAAACCAUUGCCAGGCUGAGAAUCUUCUCUUCUUCAUUUCAAAUCCGAAUGGUCCAUGCCUCCAUGUUAUGAAUUUUGUUUCCGUUCAUAUAUUUUCCAGAAUAAACCAAAUUCAAUUACGGAUAAACCUUUCAUGGUCUAAUAUUCUACCUGAAAAUGUAUAAUUUAAAGGUUUUCCUCCUCACAAUUAAUUUUGUUUCCAACGUGUUAAAAGUUUUUUUACUUAAAUAUUUAAUUACUUUAUUAUUGAAUCCCAAAAAUGGGCAAUGGAAACACAAUACAACACUGAGCUUGAAGCAAAAGUC